CAUCUGCUUGAUUUGCCAGGAACUAGUUAGAUAAAUGAGGUGUGAUUGCUGCUGAGCACUUUGGAGCAAAGAAGCUCGUCAAUGAGGUCAUGCUGUGGUUUAAAGAUCCUGACAGUCCAGGCCAUCAUUAUCAAUCAGGGAACAGAAUUCUGAAGCUUGCAACACAAACUGGAAAGACAGUUCAAGUCAUUUUAGACAAUGAACAACAGUGGAGAGGACUGUAUCCACGAAAUGAGUCAGGAGGGGCAGUUUUGCCACCAGAGAAGAAUUCCUCUUCACCAGCUGUGAUAUCAUUUAACAAUGACAGCUCUCUGGUUUUUUCAGUGCCUUUGACAAGACAACUGCCAUGA
ensembl:lncRNA